rnacentral:rRNA from 1 species
AAUCUGUCUUAGUGGCGGACGGGUGNGUAAAACGCGUGGGCAACCUGCCCUGUACCGGGGGAUAACACUUAGAAAUAGGUGCUAAUACCGCAUAAUAGGGAAUACCGCAUGGUAAUCCUUUGAAAACUCCGGUGGUACAGGAUGGGCCCGCGUCUGAUUAGCCAGUUGGCGGGGUAACGGCCCACCAAAGCGACGAUCAGCAGCCGGCCUGAGAGGGUGGACGGCCACACUGGGACUGAGACACGGCCCAGACUCCUACGGAAGGCAGCAG